GGGAAUGGGGCAUUCCCAUUACGCAUCUGCAUUACGGAAAGCACCGCAGGAGAUUGCGGUGUACAACCAGAAAAAAUUUGCCAAUUUGUUGUCUAGUAAAAAACAAAAAAACAGGCAAUGACAAUACAGCAUGGUAAUCCUGUGACAACAGUAAGCACAAGGCUUUGGGAUCAGGGAAGGCUUCUUGGAAGAGGCAAUGUCUAAUUCAAGAACUACAGUGGAGAGAUCACAGGCUGAGAAAAGCAUGAACAAAGUCCAGAGGCCUGGAUUUUGUUGUUUCCAAUUUACAGAUGGGAAUGGAUGUGACAGUAAAGGAACUGACAUUCACGGAGGCCGGUGGAUGGAAGGAUGAUUCGAGUGUAUUUGCCACAUCUUGCCAAUGAGAUCUGCAAAUCCACACUGGGGGAAAAAAACCCUGUGACUCAGAGCAGCCACUCUCCAGGGCUUGAGUGGGAACCACAAGCAUCAUGACUUACUGGUUUGUGCCCAGGAGGAUCUUCAGGUUUCCCACCAAGUCCAGACACACAGCUUCAGAAUCCUGCUCAAUUCACCCUCCAUCCAUCAGCUGAUAUACUUCCCAACCCUUCCUGAAUCUGGAGAAGGGUUGGCUCGCGCAGUGCUUUCAGCACAAACCUACUCACUUCCCGUAGGAAGCCAGCCUUUCCGUCAACUCUGCUUCUGACCCAGAAUUUAACACAAUUCAACAAAUGUUCACCGAGAAUCCACUAAGUGUCAGGGAGCAGGGAUGAAUAAACAUGGUCUCUGUGCCCUAAGGAGCUCACAUUCUGAUGAGAGAAGUUACUGACUUCAGCUCCCUCUGAAGUGGCAGCCUUGCUCUGCGGAGGUUCGGGGUGGAACUGGGCACGCUCCAUGCACAACUGCCCUCAGCCUUUCCCAGCAGAGAUGGGGCCAUCCCUGCAUGCCAUUGUGUGGCUGGGAACUCAGCAUCUUGCACCAGUGGGGGCUGGACCCCAAGGAAUGGCAGCAGCUCAAGGUAAAAGAUGAAGUCAGGUGUGAGUCAGGCUGGGAUUAAUGAACAGUGCAUCUGGCCUGAGCAAUGGGUACAGCACUGGGGUCUCUGGAAUGUUCCAAUAAGGAAGUGUACUCUGGGGUGCUGGUCACCAUCUGGUGAAGGCAUGGGGAGGAAAGAGCUGACAAGCAAAGAACUAAAGUAUCAGGGCCUAAGCCCCCCAACUAGGAGCACAGCAAGAAAGAAACCAAGGCAGAGGAAUAGCCAGUCCAACUCUGUGCAAGGGUUGACAAAUGUGUCAGGACCCCAGCAGGUUUGCCAGGCUUUAUAGAAAGACGCCAGUUUUAAGAAGCUCGGGGGCUGAUUCCUCUGGUCUAGCCCUACACUGCCCAAACCUGGUUCAGGGACGCUGGAUGGCCGGGGCCUCCCUAAGUUAGAACGCCCAUGAGAGCCUCUUGUGACUUGUCACGUUUUCUCUUCAUCAAGACACAAUGGCCAUUUCCACGCAGCGGCUGUCUUCCCGCCCCCAAGGGCUGGCAGUCACAUCAUUCGCAGAAGGGGCGCCCGGUUACCUCUCAGACCUUGUCCUGGCAUUUGACUACCUGCCUUUCUGUGGAGAUUUCCAGAAUCCACUAAGUAGGUGCUGUAAAUAGGCAGAGAAGGGAAUGAGUGUGAGUGUCUAUGUGCGUGUGUGUGUCUUAGUCUCUACUUACACCGCAGACACACACACACACACACACACACACACACACACACACAGCCACACUCACAGAAGCAGAUCGACUUCAUCGGAAUCAGUUUGCAAACUUCAUUUCUUUAGGAUGAAGAGACGAGAAAAUUAUUAUUAACAUAUCAAUGGCACCUCCAUGCUGGGAACAAGAUUACUCUCAGGCGCACACAAGCACCCAGGGAGGCACAGACGCUGUAUUUUAAAUGUGCUCCGUCUCCGCAUCGCGCUCUCCACCCUGCCCCCAUUCCCUUUUUAUUUUUAUUUUAUUUUUUUUUAUUCCUCCAAGCUUGUUUCUCUUGAAAU